rnacentral:rRNA from 1 species
UACGUAGGGUGCAAGCGUUGUCCGGAAUUAUUGGGCGUAAAGAGCUCGUAGGCGGGUUGUCGCGUCUGCUGUGAAAACUCGGGGCUUAACCCCGGGCCUGCAGUGGGUACGGGCAGACUAGAGUGCGGUAGGGGAGACUGGAAUUCCUGGUGUAGCGGUGAAAUGCGCAGAUAUCAGGAGGAACACCGGUGGCGAAGGCGGGUCUCUGGGCCGUAACUGACGCUGAGGUGCGAAAGCGUGGGGAGCAAACAGG